AUGGCUGUAGUUUAGUGAUAAGAAUUCCACGUUGUGACCGUGGACACCUGGGCUUGAAUCCGAGCAGCCAUA
rnacentral:tRNA from 1 species